AUCUUUUGUUGAGUACCAGCUCGCAUUGUGCCAGCUAAGGCUUUGGGGGCUUUGCAUUUGUUAUCUCUUUAAGUGCUGAAGACAGUGCUGAGAGUUCAGCACGAUUCGCCCCACUUUACAGAUGGGAAAGUGGAGACCCAAGGUCACAGAAGUGGUCGCUGGCAGAAGUAGGCUUUGAGCCUAGGUCCAAUGGACCCUAAAGCUGUGUCUACUCCAGGGAGGUAGAGGCUGCAGGCCCAAUACAGGGUCCUCUCUCCCUCCAGCCCUGAGACACUGGACGUGCGGCUGGGCUUCAGCCUGUGCCCAGCAGAGCUGGAGUUUCUGCAGAAGCGGAAGGUCGUGGUGGCCAAGGCCCUGAAGCAGGUGCUGCAGCUGGAGGAAGACCUGCAGGAGGAUGAGGUGCCGCUGAUAGCCAUCAUGGCCACUGGGGGUGGAACAAGAUCCAUGACCUCCAUGUAUGGCCACCUGCUGGGGCUGCAGAAGCUGAACCUCCUGGACUGUGCCAGCUACAUCACUGGUCUAUCAGGGGCCACCUGGACCAUGGCUACCUUGUACCGUGACCCUGACUGGUCCUCCAAAAACUUGGAGCCUGCUAUCUUUGAGGCUCGGAGACAUGUGGUAAAGGACAAGCUACCCUCCCUGUUCCCAGACCAGCUCCGCAAAUUCCAGGAGGAGCUCCGGCAGCGCAGCCAGGAAGGCUACAGGGUCACCUUUACAGACUUCUGGGGCCUGCUGAUAGAGACCUGCCUGGGGGACGAGAGAAAUGAAUGCAAACUGUCAGAUCAGCGUGCUGCUUUGAGCUGCGGCCAGAACCCCCUGCCCAUCUACCUCACCAUCAAUGUCAAGGAUGAUGUAAGCAACCAGGACUUCAGAGAGUGGUUCGAGUUCUCCCCCUACGAGGUGGGCCUCCAGAAGUAUGGGGCCUUCAUCCCCUCCGAGCUCUUCGGCUCCGAGUUCUUCAUGGGGCGGCUGGUGAAGAGGAUCCCGGAGUCUCGAAUCUGCUACAUGCUAGGCCUGUGGAGCAGCAUCUUCUCCCUGAACCUGCUGGAUGCCUGGAACCUGUCACACACCUCGGAGGAGUUUUUCCACAGGUGGACAAGGGAGAAAGUGCAGGACAUCGAAGAUGAGCCGAUCCUGCCUGAAAUCCCCAAAUGUGAUGCUAACAUCCUGGAGACCACGGUAGUGAUCCCAGGGUCGUGGCUGUCCAAUUCUUUCCGAGAAAUCCUUACCCAUCGGUCCUUCGUGUCUGAGUUUCACAACUUCCUGUCUGGGCUGCAGCUGCACACCAACUACCUCCAGAAUGGCCAGUUCUCUAGGUGGAAAGACACAGUGCUAGAUGGUUUCCCAAACCAGCUGACUGAGUCCGCGAACCACCUGUGCCUGCUGGACACUGCGUUCUUUGUCAACUCCAGCUACCCGCCCCUCCUCAGGCCAGAGCGAAAAGCCGACCUCAUCAUCCACCUCAACUACUGUGCUGGGUCCCAGACAAAGCCCCUGAAACAAACUUGUGAGUACUGCACUGUGCAGAACAUCCCCUUCCCCAAAUACGAGCUGCCAGAUGAGAAUGAAAAUCUCAAGGAAUGCUACCUGAUGGAGAACCCCCAGGAACCCGAUGCCCCCAUCGUGACUUUCUUCCCACUCAUCAAUGACACUUUCCGAAAAUACAAGGCACCAGGUGUAGAGCGAAGCCCUGAGGAGCUGGAGCAGGGCCAGGUGGACAUUUAUGGUCCCAAAACUCCCUAUGCCACCAAGGAGCUGACAUACACAGAGGCCACCUUUGACAAGCUGGUGAAACUCUCUGAGUAUAACAUCCUGAAUAAUAAGGACACUCUCCUCCAGGCUCUGCGGCUCGCAGUGGAGAAGAAGAAGCGCCUGAAGGGCCAGUGUCCCUCCUAGGCCCCAGGGAGCCUCCCUUGUUCUGUGUCAGCUUCUACCAUCAGAGGUGCAGGACCCCUCAGGGCUGACCAGGUUACUACGCAGCCAGCUCUGCUCUCUGGCGAUGGGUGUGAGCAGGUUGGCCUGGGCUUUCUAACGAAAAGUAAAAAAUUUUAAAAAGUUGAGAAAGAAAGAGAGAGGAGCCCUGUUGGGGUUUUAUACCCACUAGAGUUUCUUCAAGUGCUUCCCUAUAGAGAAGGUGGUCUCAUAGCCACAGGCUCCCACACGUCUGUGGAGAGGAAAAGCCUGGGGAAGAGGCUGGGCCCUCAGAAACCUCGACUCAGAGGCAGAGCCCAGGACUGGCAGCCCUCCCCUCUCUGUCCUCCACCUCGUGUGGCGGGCCUAGGGAAAUGCACAGAAGGACCUGAGAGGCACUCGGCGUUUCACUGGAAAAACACUUCAAAAUUUAAGGCAAUUCUAGUCUUGUGAUUUUUGGGUUUUUUUAGACGGAGUCUCACUCUGUUGCCCAGGCUGGAGUGCAAUGGCGCGAUCUCAGCUCACUGCAACCUCUGCCUCCCAGGUUCAAGCAAUUCUCUUGCCUCAGCCUCCCAAGUGGCCGGGAUUAGAGGCACCCGCCACCAUGCCCAGCUAAUUUUUUGUAUUUUUAGUACAGGCUGGUCUCGAACUCCUGACCUCAGGUGAUCCACCUGCCUCGGCCUCCCAAAGUGCUGGGAUUACAGGCAUGAGCCAACGCACCCGGCCCUGGUCUCAUUAUUUUUAUAGGCAAUUAUAUUUCAUGAUUUUUAUUUUUAUGAAUCGGAGUAUUAAUAGGAAGCAUGAAGCUAGAAGAUCUAGAUGGAGCCCUAGAAAUAAGCUAGUCUCUGCCACAACAAAGCCAAAUAGGUGGCCAGUUUCAGUGGCUCUCUCCAGCUACCCAGAGCUCCAGGGCUGGUGAUCCAUGUCAUCAUGACCAGACAGCCAUGCCCAAGCAUCCAGCUCCAAACAAAUGCCAGGCAAAGCCUAAGUCUAUAGCCCAGGUUCACCAAAUGAGGAUCUGGGAUGGAGUUCAGCAAGGUCAGGCAGGCUGUGGGUAAAUGAGGUUGGGGGCCAGGCAGGCGAUGCAUCCAGCGCUGCCCACUCCAGCUGUCGGUGCUCACUGACGACCCUGCUCCAAGAGCGUCUCUCAGCCUCUUACCGCCCAUCUCUCUGGCUGCCACAUGGGAUUACUUAUUUCUAAAUGUGAUUCCUCUUAUCUGUGUUGUCAACACCGUGACCAGUGCAUUCCAACUCUUGGAGAGUCACCCACAGAGACUGAAACUGGGAAGAAUUAGUGAAAAAGGACUAGGUUAGCCAUCAGAGGAAGAAGCCCGCCCUUUAAGAUUGCUUCCUAAUGAAUCUCUGGGAAAACCCUGGGACACAGAGAAGCCCAAAGUCAGCAGGUCUCCCUUCAGGCUGGGAACAUAACCAAGGAAAUGCAUAACCGGAGCCACUGACAGGCCCAGGCUGAUAGAAGGUGAAAGCAGAAAGGCAGGAAGACAUGAGGUCUGCAGGAAACCCAGCAACCCUGGAAGGCGGAGUCCCCUUUCUGGGCCACCAUGCUCCCUAAGCAGUCUUUGGGUUGUGAGGAAACCAGUGGUGACAGGUACCAAAAGUUUAGAAAAAUUGGCCUCCGAUGUACAUCCUUGCUACUCAAAGUGCAGUGGGGAGCUGGUUGGAAAUGCGGAAUCUCAGGCCUUAGCCCAGCUGUACUAAAUUAGAAGCUGCAUUUUUCAGGAGAUUCCCAUCCCCAGGCGCCCCCCCCGUGAUUCCUGUGCAUAUUAAAGUUUGAGAGGCCUGGAUUUACGCCACUCCCUCCCAUGAGCUUGGAACGUAUGAAUCAGUGCUCCCUUGAGCCACUGAUAAACUGAGCUCUGGACCUGCAAAACUGGUCCCCACCCAGGUAAUGCUAACCUGGGACACCAGCCCUCCCCUCCACCAGAGCAACUGGCUGCCUCCACUUUGACAUCUUUUCUUUCUGACUGCAACAGACUCUCCUUCCAGUAUCAAAGAGUGAGCCAAGCAACAGACAGGACUUGUUUAUCGUAAGGCGAAGGCAGCCAUGCCUUGGAUUCAUCAAAAGUUUGUGAAACGAGGUUUAUAAAAUCAUCAUAUUAUUUGUGCAUGGAAUAAAAUGGCCAUGUGGGUG
rnacentral:sRNA from 1 species